GGAUGCUGACGUCGGCGGAGGAGGAGAGGUAAGGGAGCCAGGCGGGGGAACAGGGUGACUAGCUGAAGGGGUUUUAACCCCUUCAGCGCCGCGGGAGAUGGACCAUGAGGGUGGGGGCACCCUCAGGAUACUAUAGUGCCAGGAAAACCAAGCGGUUUUCCUGCCACUGUAGUAUCCCUUUAAUUCAGAGCAGCAGUCAUGGCAUCCCAAGCAGAAAAUCAGCCAUCGGAGCUACAACCAAGAUCUUGCUUGUGGUGGGAAAUCUUGCUAGCAGUUGUAGCUCUGCUGAUUUAACGUAUGCAUUUGUGAUUCUGAUUGUGUGUAUGUUUAUAUCUGUAAAUUUGUGGCUGUGUGUAUUUGCCUGCUUAAAUGGUGUGUAUGUGUGUGUUUUUUUUUUUUCCAGUGCCAAUGUAUAUGACUAAAUAUAACAUUAUAUAUAUUAUAUAUAAAAUAGGAUGACCACAUUUCCUAACUGCCAUUCAUGGACACUUACUUUCACAAGUGCAUUUAAUCAAAUUUAUAUUGUGGAGCUGAUUGUGGUGUGUGUGUGUGUAGGAAGCUUUAGUGUGUAUAUACAGAGGCUGUUUUGUGUGUGUGUGUGUGUGUGUAUAGUGGGCUGUUUUUGGGGGGAGGUGCUUGUGUGCAUAGGGGGCUUCAGUGUCUAUUAAUUUGAUGUAUUGCUUGAGGGGAUUGGGGUUUCAGGGUGCUGGGUGGGAUAUUAAACAUAUGUAAUAAUUAUGCAUAUAUUGGCAUAAUAAAAAAAAAAAUGGAAAAACAACCGUACAUUUAUACCCCACCUCCCUUCUGUUACCUUUUGCCAAGGGAGGAGGGUUUCUUGGUUGUGUAGUGGGCUGAGUGCCCUCUCUGGCUGUUUCCUCUGAGGAGCUCCGCCGUUACUGAGAGCGUUGCCAUGGAAAACCACACUCUCAGUAACCGAAGCUCGCGGGGAACAGACCACAUGGCCGACCCCCAGCAGGAGAUGAAUACAGCCUCUCCUGCGCCACUCUGCCUGUCUGUGCAAUUGGCCGGUGAAGAAGUCCAGUUUCCUCACCAGCCCAACAAGGGACUUUGUCACAUGUUUUGGCUUAGCUCACUGAGCAUCGGCCCUGAGUUUGCCGGCCGGGGAGAUCCUUUAAUCUCCCUGGUCGGCGUAGUUCCUUGGCCAUCGUGGCCUGGAGACAGACAGAGGCGGUGGCAUUGCAGCUCAGCUCAUUCCAGGACACUACACUGUCCCGGAAUGAGGAUCCCAGGACCCAGGACAGACUCUCAAAAUGUGAGACUGUCCCAGGCGAUCCGGGACACGUGGGCACCCUAAUAUAAAAUAAAAAAUGUUUACCUAUGCAGCUGUACAAUGUCACCUUCUGUUGCUGAUCUGUUGAUUUGUGCUGCAUAAAAAAAUAUAACAAUUAACCAUAAAAAGUGUAAAAUUAAAAAAA